CCUACGGGAGGCAGCAGCGAGGAAUCUUGGGCAAUGGGCGAAAGCCUGAUCCAGCAAUGCCGCGUGAGUGAUGAAGGCCUUAGGGUUGUAAAGCUCUUUCGGCGGGGAAGAUGAUGACGGUACCCGCAGAAGAAGCCCCGGCUAACUUCGUGCCAGCAGCCGCGGUAAU
rnacentral:rRNA from 1 species